rnacentral:rRNA from 1 species
AAACCAACAGGGAUUGCCUCAGUAACGGCGAGUGAAGCGGCAAAAGCUCAAAUUUGAAAUCUGGCUGCUUUUUUAGUAGUCCGAGUUGUAAUUUGAAGAAUAGAUCCUUGGAGAGGCGCCUUGUCUAUGUUCCUUGGAACAGGACGUCGCAGAGGGUGAGAAUCCCGUUUGGCGAGGUGUGCUGAUCCGUGUAAGGGCUGUUCGACGAGUCGAGUUGUUUGGGAAUGCAGCUCUAAGUGGGUGGUAAAUUCCAUCUAAAGCUAAAUAUUGGCGAGAGACCGAUAGCGAACAAGUACAGUGAUGGAAAGAUGAAAAGAACUUUGAAAAGAGAGUGAAAAAGUACGUGAAAUUGUUGAAAGGGAAGGUUAUUAGAUCAGACUUGGAUUUUUUAUUAUAUUUGUCUCCUUGUGGGGC